rnacentral:rRNA from 1 species
UACGUAGGGUGCAGGCGUUAAUCGGAAUUACUGGGCGUAAAGCGUGCGCAGGCGGUUUGCUAAGACAGGUGUGAAAUCCCCGGGCUUAACCUGGGAACUGCGCUUGUUACUGGCAGGCUUGAGUGUGGCAGAGGGGGGUGGAAUUCCACGUGUAGCAGUGAAAUGCGUAGAGAUGUGGAGGAACACCGAUGGCGAAAGGCAGCCCCCUGGGCUAACACUGACGCCUCAUGCACGAAAGCGUGGG